UCAAAACCUUCCUUUUCAGCUUUUUGGGAAAAUACCGAAAAAGGUAAAGUGGUCUCUUCAUUUUUUCCAGAGGUGUAUAUAUAAUACACAGACACAUUUUAUGUAAAAUGUUCUCCCCUUAAGAGGGUCAGUGCACAAGCCUACCAUUGUGUGGGCAAAUUACCUUUAGUAACAUACAUUAGCCCUAUAACAUUGUGCAGGUGUCAGUGUUAAGCGUGGGUGAUUGGCUAAGAUGACGGUUGCUGUAGUAAUAACCCUCUGGGGUUAUUUAACUUCUGGGUCAGUUCUGCAAAUGUGUAAGCUAGAGAAAUCAACGGCUUUGACCAAAUGCUUAACCUGCAUCAGCUCUGUCCUGUUUUUCAUUAAAUCGGGGGCGGGGGGGGGGGGUAGAACUGUUUUGACCCAGGCCAGAUCAAAGGUAGAACGGUUUUGACCAGGAUCAGAGGUGGAACUGUUUUGACCCAGGUCAGAUCAGAGGUGGAACUGUUUUGACCCAGGUCAGAUCAGAGGUGGAACUGUUUUGACCCAGGUCAGAUCAGAGGUAGAACUGUUUUGACCCAGGUCAGAUCAGAGGUAGAACUGUUUUGACCCAGGUCAGAUCAGAGUAAACUGAUGUCUUUGCCGUCAGUUGAAAUCAACCAAGCCAAGUAAAUCUUCCAGUAAUACACUUUUGUAAAAUUCUCCUAUCUAAUAUAUUGGCCCUUUUGUCUCUAGAUACAAACAUGGUUUCUAUAUAAUAGUCCCUUUACCCUCCAAUAUAUAUUGCAGUUUAGGAUGAUUCUGAUGCCACAAUAAAGGAUGGAGACAGAAUAGAGAGAAAUGUAUUCUGAGAUGACAAGUCACAUUAUAGGUCUGAAAGUCUGUUACCCGAAAGUAUACAUUAACCGUGUGGGGAAACUACAAAAUCAUCUAGGUGAAAUGUAAAUUACAGAUAUAUUUAUGUACUUUAGGAUCAUAAUAGAAUUAUGAUAUGGAAGACAGAGUUAAUUAUUUUGUACAUAGUUUUGUCUUGUGAUAUGAAUAACAGUGCAGGAUUAGGGUGUAAAACUUCCAUAUAUUAUCACUCUUGCUUUCACAGACUCUUAUCUUGUCCUGAUUAUGGGUGACAGGACCAUCUCAUUGGCAAUAGAUUGCAGAUAUAUUUUUUCAGCAUAUUGUAUUUUUCAAGAGUGUUAGGAGCCUUCAGUAAAUCAUGUGCUCAAAUAAUUAUGCUCAUCACUAGUUUCUAAGCAACAGUUUGGUGAAAUGGAAAAGAGUGUAACAUUUUUUAAAAGGCGUCCUCAGCUUGUGUCUUUUCCAUUAUCAGCCAUGAAUGUGUUCAAUUAUAAAACCCGAAGAGGUGGUGACACGUAUUCAAAUAAAUCUUUCAAGAGCAUUUGCGUUUCGGUUGGAGCCGAUGAUGUCCACUGUGUGCUACUGUUUUUGAAUAGAACAAAUGAGAUCAUGAAAGGAAAUGUCAAUCUGUAUGAUUUGCAUACAUUUUCAUGUAAGGUCAAAGCAGGCUUUAACGGUCAUUGAGGAAUCUCAGACUGCCAGAAUUCCCUUAUAAUUUGUGUGUCAGUUCAUUGGUUGAAUGCUCUUGCGAUUGGGUUGGAUUUGGGGAGCCUGGAGAUCAGUCUGCAGGCCUUACAUACACACAUUAAAGGUAUGGUCUGCUGUUGUACCAAUUGGAGUGAGGGGGAGAAAGAACCAAUAUCACCUAUUGCAACACACAGAAUUAAAAGAAAACAAUAAGCCUCAUGCACAGUGCAACAGCCAGAUCUCGGCUCAAAUUAAUCAAUGCCCCAAUGCAUUUAUGUUUUUAACACACAGACUGCGACUGGCUACUGUAUAAAAACCAGCAACACCCUCACAGCGUAGGCUUUUACUUUUCAGAAUUAGAAGUGUGUGGGCAGGCUAUGAAUAUGUAAAUAAAGACAGCAUAAACACUGCCA